rnacentral:rRNA from 1 species
AGCGAACGCUGGCGGCGUGCCUAACACAUGCAAGUCGAACGUGAAAAGGGAAACCUGAGUAAAGUGGCGUACGGGUGAGUAACGCGUAGGUAAUCUACCCCAGAAUCUGGAAUAACCUGCCGAAAGGCGGGCUAAUACUGGAUAGAGCGAGGGAACUCGUAAGAGAGUUUUUCGGGAAAGGGAGCCCGCAAGGGCCUUCGUUCUGGGAUGAGCCUGCGUCUCAUUAGCUAGUUGGUGAGGUAACGGCUUACCAAGGCGAUGAUGAGUAGCUGGUCUGAGAGGAUGAUCAGCCACACUGGAACUGAAACACGGUCCAGACUCCUACGGGAGGCAGCAGUGGGGAAUCUUGCGCAAUGGACGAAAGUCUGACGCAGCCACGCCGCGUGAGUGAAGAAGGCCUUCGGGUUGUAAAGCUCUGUCGGAUGGGACGAACAUCUUCAUAGUGAAUAGCUAUGAGGACUGACGGUACCAUCAAAGGAAGCACCGGCUAACUCCGUG